GCCCUAUCGUCUAGUGGUUCGGGACAUCUCUCUUUCCAGGAGGUAGCGGGGAUUCGACUUCCCCUGUGGGUA
rnacentral:tRNA from 1 species